GACGAACGCUGGCGGCGUGCUUAACACAUGCAAGUCGAACGGUGAAGGGACCAGCUUGCUGGUUCUGGAUGAGUGGCGAACGGGUGAGUAACACGUGAGUAACCUGCCCCCUUCUUCUGGAUAACCGCAUGAAAGUGUGGCUAAUACGGGAUAUUCUGGGUCUGUCGCAUGGCGGGCCCGGGAAAGAUAUUGCUUCGGUGGGGGAUGGGCUCGCGGCCUAUCAGCUUGUUGGUGGGGUGAUGGCCUACCAAGGCGGUGACGGGUAGCCGGCCUGAGAGGGUGGGAGGGUACAAUGGGACUGGGACCCGGCCCAGGCUCCUAAGGGAGGCAGCAGUGGGGAAUAUUGCACAAUGGGCGCAAGCCUGAUGCAGCGACGCCGCGUGAGGGAUGGAGGCCUUCGGGUUGUAAACCUCUUUCGCCAGUGAAGCAGGCCUGCUCCUUGUGGGUGGGUUGACGGUAGCUGGAGAAGAAGCGCCGGCUAACUACGUG
rnacentral:rRNA from 1 species